GACGAACGCUGGCGGCGUGCUUAACACAUGCAAGUCGAACGGAAAGGCCCUGCUUUUGUGGGGUGCUCGAGUGGCGAACGGGUGAGUAACACGUGAGUAACCUGCCCUUGACUUUGGGAUAACUUCAGGAAACUGGGGCUAAUACCGGAUAGGAUCUCCUGCUGCAUGGUGGGGGUUGGAAAGUUUCGGCGGUUGGGGAUGGACUCGCGGCUUAUCAGCUUGUUGGUGGGGUAGUGGCUUACCAAGGCUUUGACGGGUAGCCGGCCUGAGAGGGUGACCGGCCCCAUUGGGACUGAGAUACGGCCCAGACUCCUACGGGAGGCAGCAGUGGGGAAUAGUGCACAAUGGGCGGAAGCCUGAUGCAGCAACGCCGCGUGCGGGAUGACGGCCUUCGGGUUGUAAACCGCUUUCGCCUGUGACGAAGCGUGAGUGACGGUAAUGGGUAAAGAAGCACCGGCUAACUACGUG
rnacentral:rRNA from 1 species